rnacentral:tRNA from 1 species
GUGGUGGCUCAGUGGUAGAGUGCUUGCCUAGCAUGUGUGAGGCACUGGGUUUGAUUCUCAGCACCACA